AGCAGUAGCCACGGGAAUACGUAGGGCGCAAGCGUUAUCCGGAAUUAUUGGGCGUAAAGAGCUCGUAGGCGGUUUGUCGCGUCUGCCGUGAAAGUCCGGGGCUCAACCCCGGAUCUGCGGUGGGUACGGGCAGACUAGAGUGAUGUAGGGGAGACUGGAAUUCCUGGUGUAGCGGUGAAAUGCGCAGAUAUCAGGAGGAACACCGAUGGCGAAGGCAGGUCUCUGGGCAUUAACUGACGCUGAGGAGCGAAAGCAUGGGGAGCGAACAGGAUUAGAUACCCGGUAGUCCCUGUCUCUUAUACA
rnacentral:rRNA from 1 species